rnacentral:rRNA from 1 species
GCCUAACACAUGCAAGUCGAACGGGACUUAGUGGAAAGCGGCUUCGGCCAAUGGAAGCUAAGUUUAGUGGCGAACGGGUGAGUAACGCGUGAGGAACCUGCCUUCCAGUGGGGGACAACAGUUGGAAACGACUGCUAAUACCGCAUAACAUAAUCGAACCGCAUGAUUUGAUUAUCAAAGCUUUAUGUGCUGGAAGAUGGCCUCGCGUCUGAUUAGCUAGUUUGUGGGGUAACGGACUACCAAGGCGACGAUCAGUAGCCGGUCUGAGAGGAUGAACGGCCACAUUGGGACUGAGAUACGGCCCAGACUCCUACGGGAGGCAGCAGUGGGGAAUAUUGGGCAAUGGGGGAAACCCUGACCCAGCAACGCCGCGUGAAGGAAGAAGGCCUUCGGGUUGUAAACUUCUUUUACCAGGGACGAAGAACGUGACGGUACCUGGAGAAAAAGCAACGGCUAACUACGUGCCAGCAGCCGCGGUAACAC